CGACCAAGCCCUUAUUUCUGCUCUAAAUAUCUUAGUCAGUCUUCUCUCUCUCUGUCUACUAUUAUUUUCCUUCGUUUCCCAACGCAAAAUCUACAGUUUAUUAGUCCUUUUCAGUGAUUUGAUCGCUUCUCUACCAAAAAUAUGAGUGAUCCAAAGUAUGCUUACCCUUACCCUGCUCCGGGAAACUACCCGCAUGGCCCGCCGCCUCCAGUUGGAGUACCACCGCAGUACUAUGCUCCACCACCGCCCCCGCCAAGAAAGAAACCUGGUUUCCUUGAGGGACUACUUGCGGCUAUGUGUUGUUGCUGCCUUGUGGAUGAAUGUUGCUGCGACCCGACCAUUAUAUGCAUUGAUUGAACUUCUUUAAAAAGAAAUUUAGAUCUCUCUUUGUGUGUGUUAUUUUUUUUUUGGUUAUGAUGAGAUUUAUGUAAUAAAAUUUUAUACCCCUUCAAACUGAGUUCUUUAGCCAAUACAAAUACACGUUGACAAA